AGCGAACGCUGGCGGCAGGCCUAACACAUGCAAGUCGAACGAACUCUUCGGAGUUAGUGGCGGACGGGUGAGUAACACGUGGGAACGUGCCUUUAGGUACGGAAUAACUCAGGGAAACUUGUGCUAAUACCGAAUGUGUCCUUCGGGGGAAAGAUUUAUCGCCUUUAGAGCGGCCCGCGUCUGAUUAGCUAGUUGGUGAGGUAAAGGCUCACCAAGGCGACGAUCAGUAGCUGGUCUGAGAGGAUGAUCAGCCACAUUGGGACUGAGACACGGCCCAAACUCCUACGGGAGGCAGCAGUGGGGAAUCUUGCGCAAUGGGCGAAAGCCUGACGCAGCCAUGCCGCGUGAAUGAUGAAGGUCUUAGGAUUGUAAAAUUCUUUCACCGGGGACGAUAAUGACGGUACCCGGAGAAGAAGCCCCGGCUAACUUCGUGCCAGCCGCCGCGGUAA
rnacentral:rRNA from 1 species